GAGUGCUGAUUAUCCUUGAUGGGAAGGCCUUGAUUUUCAAUACAGUAGAUAAAGUUGAAAUGCUUUCUCUGUGGUAUUAAAUACAGAGUUAAAUGAGGAGUAAAGGAUCCACCUACUUCUCUGUGGAAGGGUUUUCAGGGACGAGAACAGUGACUUACCGGAUCAGGCCAGAUGCUAAUGGCGCAGGCAUGUAUAGUGUUGAGGUAACAUUCAUCUUCACCGUGCUUGAUUUACAAAAAAGAAAAAUAAAAAAAGUCAAAGGUGUUAAAAUUACAAAGCAAUGAAACUUCUGAUUAGAUGUUAUGGAAGUAGUAGAUCUCAACCUGGCAAAUGAUGGUCUUGUUAGGUUUUACAUAUUGAGCAUUGCCCCAUGGAACUAGCCUGAGAUUGAUAAUAUUGAGAAGAUCAGUGUUGAAGACCUUCACAAGUUGACUUACAAUGAAACUCCGGCAAUAUGGACAUAGAGACUCAUAAUACAGAGACAAAUGAACCUUCUUUGGUUUGAUAUGAGAUUGAGCUUUGGUGACAUUGUUAUCUGGAGAAGAAUGAGAUUGAUAGAUGAAAAUGAAGUUUACAAGGAGAAGAAGAGAGAGUAACUUAGAAAAAGACAUUUUCUAGGGUCAUAAUAAGCUCUCAAACA